rnacentral:rRNA from 1 species
AUUGAACGCUGGCGGCAGGCCUAACACAUGCAAGUCGAGCGGAUGAAGGGAGCUUGCUCCUGGAUUCAGCGGCGGACGGGUGAGUAAUGCCUAGGAAUCUGCCUGGUAGUGGGGGAUAACGUCCGGAACCGGGCGCUAAUACCGCAUACGUCCUGAGGGAGAAAGUGGGGGAUCUUCGGACCUCACGCUAUCAGAUGAGCCUAGGUCGGAUUAGCUAGUUGGUGGGGUAAAGGCCUACCAAGGCGACGAUCCGUAACUGGUCUGAGAGGAUGAUCAGUCACACUGGAACUGAGACACGGUCCAGACUCCUACGGGAGGCAGCAGUGGGGAAUAUUGGACAAUGGGCGAAAGCCUGAUCCAGCCAUGCCGCGUGUGUGAAGAAGGUCUUCGGAUUGUAAAGCACUUUAAGUUGGGAGGAAGGGCAGUAAGUUAAUACCUUGCUGUUUUGACGUUACCAACAGAAUAAGCACCGGCUAACUUCGUG